rnacentral:rRNA from 1 species
UGAACCUCACAUACCAGCACUAAUGCAUCGGAUUCCAUCAGAACUCCGCAGUUAAACGUGCUUGGACGAGAUUAGGAUGGGUAACCUCAUGGAAAGUCCUCGUGUUGCACCCC